rnacentral:lncRNA from 1 species
UCGUGGAUUCCUGCAGCCUGGAUGAAGACAGGAGACAGAGGACCGACGCUUCCUGCCUUUCUCACUGACAGGAAUGUUCAGUUGGAGCUCUGCCAGCUCCCCUGGGGGCUGCCUCUGAAACUCAAUAGCCUACCGUGGUGUGAAUCAUUGUUUACGCCAUUCCAGGAGGCAGGAAUAGUGGAGCCCUGGCAGUGAGACUCUUCC